UUUGAGGAGGCCUCUGGAUCUUGGUAGAGAAGCUGCUGGCUUAUAUAAACUGGCUUGGGUUCCUCCUUCCCCUUCUUCCUUUGUUUGUUGUUCCUCUACUUCUGUUUGUUCUGUAUCUGCUUCUUGUAAUGAUGACACUUUGUCUGAUAGCAAGGUUGUUGCAUUGCCUUCUGUGUAUGUUUCUUAUCAUGAUGACAUUUUGUCUGAUAACAAGGCUGUUCCAUUGCCUUCAGAUGUAUAUAGUUCCAUCUGUAAUACUGAUCUUACAUCUGACAUGAAUUACAUUUGGCACUUAA
rnacentral:lncRNA from 1 species